AAGGGAGACCUAAUUCAGGUAUAAGACGAAAAAAAAGUAGUCCCUACCAAGAAUCAAUCCCAAAAGGUCGGAACGAGGUAUGAGGCUUUCAAACUAGGUUCUGGGUUCAUAAAAGACCUGAAUCAGGAACAAGGGCUAUUAGCUCAGGUGGUUAGAGCGCACCCCUGAUAAGGGUGAGGUCCCUGGUUCGAGUCCAGGAUGGCCCACCUGCACAGGUGGCAAAAACAAGAGAAGCGAGGAAUCAGCACCUUAUCUUACUGACAUAGUAAGAGAGAAUGCUGGCUCUGAGUAAAGAGUCCAGAGGAACCUUGAAAACUGCAUAGAGCUAGGUGAAAAAGCCAAAAAAGAAGACCGCAAGGUCAAGCUAAUAAGGGCUAACGGUGGAUACCUAGGCAC
rnacentral:tRNA from 1 species